UACGAAGGAAACUAACGUUGCUCGGAAUCACUGGGCGUAAAGCGCACGUAGGCGGCUUUCUAAGUCGGGGGUGAAAUCCUGGAGCUCAACUCCAGAACUGCCUGAUACUGGAGAGCUUGAGUCCGGGAGAGGUGAGUGGAACUGCGAGUGUAGAGGUGAAAUUCGUAGAUAUUCGCAAGAACACCAGUGGCGAAGGCGGCUCACUGGCCCGGUACUGACGCUGAGGUGCGAAAGCGUGGGGAGCAAACAGG
rnacentral:rRNA from 1 species